GCUGGUUCCGGGGCCGGCGGCCGAGGGGCAAGCGGACCGUCGGAGCUGGACGCCGUCAGGAGGGCCGGAGCCGGGGCCAGGGGGAAGUGGAGGAGGCGGAGCAAGGGCCCUCAGGCCCGGGCGAAGCGGCCUGUUGUCUGGGGUCAGGUCUCUGGGCCGUGGAGUCUUGCGCUGUCCCCGCUCGUCCUGUCUCUAGUGGCUGUAUCCACCCUGAGCUAAACAUGUAGAAGACGAAGUGCGGCGCCGGGGUUUGCCCGUCCCCGGCUCGCAGCGCCGGGGCGGGGAGCGCAGGUGCGUGGUGCCCGGGCAGGUGAGUGCAGCGAGCCGAGGUGCACCCUGCAGUCCCCACCCGUACGCCCAGGCCCGUGGGCUGAGCCUGGCCCGGUGUCCUCUCCAGUGGCUGCCUCCGCCAGCAUAAGGAGAACAGCACCAUCUGUCUUCUGCUUUUGUUUUUCCAAAGCCUGGAUGCUUCACAAUUGCCAGCGUUCGCCCUAUAAGUAAUACUCCACACCGCCUCAUUUGCUCCUUCAUCUUCCACUGCUCUGUUGCCGCUUUCUCCAGUGUGAAGAACAGCAAAGAAUGAGUGCAGUUGGGGUCCAAGAGAGAGAAUUGUAUCACCUCGAUAGAGAGGAGAGUGUGAAAAUACAGCUUCUCAACUCUCUUCACGAUUUUUUCCUGUGACAAGGUUAAUAGCUGUAGGCUAUGCAAAGCUCUGGCCCGAGUGCUUCACCAGUGCAGGAGGUGGCAGAUUUCAGGACUAGAGAUGCCAUUUUCCAGCGCAGCAAGUUCUGUGUCCCUUUGAUUAAGAGACUGGGUGCAAAGAGACAACCAGCCAGUCAAUUUUUGGGUUAAAAUCCAGAAACAAAGAGGAAUUGAAGCAACCCAUUCAUUCUGAAGAUAAGGGUGAGGUGGCACAAAUGUCAUCCAAAUUGCUGAGCUUCUCUGUAUUGCCUGCGUUACAUUCGCAGGUCAAACGCAGUGUGAAGGCAACGUGAAAAUCUAGCUGCCAAGGCAUCUCAGCUAUGUCAGAAAGACUUGCUGCUCUCUGCUUUCUUGGAGCUAAAAGAUUUCAGUAAGUUGUUGAGCUGAAUGCUUCAUCCUCCUACCUCACAAGCUUCUGGAGGUGACAGAUGUUUCCUCAGGGCCUGUUAUUUUAGACACCUCCAUGAUUUAUAUAUCUCUGCAAGCCUGGUGGGUGGAAUUGGAUGUCACAGACAAGCUGAAAAUAACUCAUAGACUCUGCUAUCUACUGGCCCAUGUAGAAAAAUUCUGAGAUCAAAUUGAAUCACAUUAUAUGUGCCUGGCAGAUGCAUUGAGAUGUACAGAUGGAGCAAUGGUGGGUUAAAGUGAAGCUGAAGUGCUCUGUGGAGAGUGCUGGCAAGGACUCUGCAAUAACAUCGUGCACAGCAGAACCACCGUGGCUGAAUCCUUACAACUGUUUUGCAAAGAUCAGCAGUAGCUUAGAGAGGAAAAAUUCAUAUCUAGAACAAUGUGUAAUUCCCUGUGCAAUCGUGGCAUAGAAAUGGAGAGAAUGUCUUUGGCCUCUGCAUAAGAGGUUAAUGGAGAUACCCGGACACAUGGGCCUUACACAGCUAUGCUUGGGUGUGCCUUAAGGAAUGCCAAGGGGCUUUAAACCUGCUUCCAGGGUCCUUCUCACCAGAAGCAAUACUCGAUCUCUCCAGUGAUAUCCCAUAGUGUACCUCAGCCCAAGACACGCGGCUCUCCUCAGGAGGAAAAUGCUGCAUCAUUGGAAGACUUGGGUGAAAUUUUAAGUGGCACAGCAGGAGUAGAACCCAAGGCUGCCUUCUGAUUCACUGUUAUCCAGCACAUUUUGGACUUGUCCGUCCAAAACUUUGGUUAUGAUGUCAGUGAGAUAAGUGGCAUGAAAUGGCUGGGAGUGUGUUAGAUCCAUUAGAUCUAUCAGAUCUUACAGUGUCCUGAUGUAUGUGGCCUUGCAGGAGUGUGGCAACAACUCCUCUGAUCUGCAGCUUAUUACUCUAGUGGAAAACAUAACAAGAAUAUGGCUUUGUAAUUAUUUUUUUAA